UUUUAGCCCCGAUGUUAGUGGCAUCUCGUCUUUGGGGACGAGAUAUAACGGACAGCGGGAAAAUGA
rnacentral:sRNA from 1 species